UACGUAGGGCGCAAGCGUUGUCCGGAAUUAUUGGGCGUAAAGAGCUCGUAGGCGGCUUGUCAAGUCGAUUGUGAAAGCCCGAGGCUUAACCUCGGGUCUGCAGUCGAUACGGGCAGGCUAGAGUGUGGUAGGGGAGAUCGGAAUUCCUGGUGUAGCGGUGAAAUGCGCAGAUAUCAGGAGGAACACCGGUGGCGAAGGCGGAUCUCUGGGCCAUUACUGACGCUGAGGAGCGAAAGCGUGGGGAGCGAACAGG
rnacentral:rRNA from 1 species